rnacentral:rRNA from 1 species
UACGAAGGGGGCUAGCGUUGGUCGGAAUUACCGGGCGUAAAGCGCGUGUAGGUGGAAUGGUAAGCAAGAGGUGAAAUCCCAGAGCUCAACUUUGGAAUUGCCUUUUGAACUAUCAUUCUGGAGUAUUGGAGGGGAGUGCGGAAUUCCUAAUGUAGAGGUGAAAUUCGUAGAUAUUAGGAGGAACACCGGUGGCGAAGGCGGCACUCUGGACAAUAACUGACACUGAGACGCGAAAGCGUGUGGAGCAAACAGG